rnacentral:rRNA from 1 species
ACGAUGAAGCCCUUCGGGGUGGAUUAGUGGCGAACGGGUGAGUAACACGUGGGCAAUCUGCCCUUCACUCUGGGACAAGCCCUGGAAACGGGGUCUAAUACCGGAUAACACUCCUGCCUGCAUGGGUGGGGGUUAAAAGCUCCGGCGGUGAAGGAUGAGCCCGCGGCCUAUCAGCUUGUUGGUGGGGUAAUGGCCUACCAAGGCGACGACGGGUAGCCGGCCUGAGAGGGCGACCGGCCACACUGGGACUGAGACACGGCCCAGACUCCUACGGGAGGCAGCAGUGGGGAAUAUUGCACAAUGGGCGAAAGCCUGAUGCAGCGACGCCGCGUGAGGGAUGACGGCCUUCGGGUUGUAAACCUCUUUCAGCAGGGAAGAAGCGAAAGUGACGGUACCUGCAGAAGAAGCGCCGGCUAACUACGUGCCAGCAGCCGCGGUAAUACGUAGGGCGCAAGCGUUGUCCGGAAUUAUUGGGCGUAAAGAGCUCGUAGGCGGCUUGUCGCGUCGGAUGUGAAAGCCCGGGGCUUAACCCCGGGUCUGCAUUCGAUACGGGCAGGCUAGAGUGUGGUAGGGGAGAUCGGAAUUCCUGGUGUAGCGGUGAAAUGCGCAGAUAUCAGGAGGAACACCGGUGGCGAAGGCGGAUCUCUGGGCCAUUACUGACGCUGAGGAGCGAAAGCGUGGGGAGCGAACAGGAUUAGAUACCCUGGUAGUCCACGCCGUAAACGUUGGGAACUAGGUGUUGGCGACAUUCCACGUCGUCGGUGCCGCAGCUAACGCAUUAAGUUCCCCGCCUGGGGAGUACNGGCCGCAAGGCUA